UGUCUCAGUGUAAACACUAGAAUUGUGAAACUGCGAAUGGCUCAUUACAUCAGUGAUAAUCUCUUUGAUAGUGCGUGGCACAUGGAUAACUGUGCUAACCGUAGAGCUAAUACAUGCCCAGAUUCUUGGAUUUCGGUUCAAGAAGCAUUUAUUAGGUUCGAGCCAACCUGACUCAUUUUUUGUGUCAGUGCGGAUGAAUCAUAAUAACUUUUGCGAAUCACAGAGCCCCAUUUUGUGGCGGUGAUGCAUCAUUCGAAUCUCUGCCCUAUCAGCUUUUGAUGGUAGUGUCGUGGACUACCAUGGCGAUAACGGGUAACGGAGAAUUAGGGUUCGAUUCCGGAGAGGGAGCCUGAGAAAUGGCUACCACAUCCAAGGAAGGCAGCAGGCGCGUAAAUUACCCAAUCCUGACUCAGGGAGGUAGUGACCAUAAAUAACGACGCUCGGCCUUUGGUCGUGCGAUCGGAAUGCGAGAAGCUUUAAGCUCUUCUCGAAAGCAACUGGAGGGCAAGUCUGGUGCCAGCAGCCGCGGUAAUACCAGCUCCAGUAGCGUAUAUUAAAGUUGUUGCAGUUAAAAAGCUCGUAGUUGGAUGUCGGAAAGGACCUCAUGGUUUGUCCGGCACUCUUAAGGAGUGUUCCGUGACCCAGAGUGUUUUCCAUUUCCUAGACGACUGGAGUCGGGUCAGUUUGUGCAUUCACUUGCACGAUUGAUCGCUUUUCUCGCAAGAGAAAGAAACGGUUUCGGUCAUGUUACUGUGAAGAAAUCAGAGUGCUCAAAGCAGGCAUUUGUCCGAAUGGAUUAGCAUGGGAUAACCACCCUUGACCUCGGUCUUUGGGAGUUGGUUCAAAAGAUCGAUGGCGCUUGAUUAAUAGGGACAGUUGGGGGCAUUCGUAUUUCGAAGUCAGAGGUGAAAUUCUUGGAUUUUCGAAAGACGAACAUAUGCGAAAGCAUUUGCCAAGGAUGUUUUCAUUAAUCAAGAACGAAAGUUCGGGGAUCGAAGACGAUCAGAUACCGUCGUAGUCCGAACCAUAAACGAUGCCGACUAGGGAUUGGAAGAUGCGCUUUUGCCAUCUUUCAGCACCUUCCGAGAAAUCAAAGUUUUUGGGUUCCUGGGGGAGUAUGGUCGCAAGGCUGAAACUUAAAGGAAUUGACGGAAGGGCACCACCAGGAGUGGAGCCUGCGGCUUAAUUUGACUCAACACGGGGAAACUUACCAGGUCCAGACAUAGGAAGGAUUGACAGAUUGACAGCUCUUUCUUGAUUCUAUGGGUGGUGGUGCAUGGCCGUUCUUAGUUGGUGGAGUGAUUUGUCUGGUUAAUUCCGAUAACGAACGAGACCUUCACCUCUAAAUAGUGCGCAUCUCUUCCAUUCUUGCUUUUUGAAUUUGAUUCUUGCUUCGGUAAGAGUCCAGUUUCUGAGCUUGAACGAGGUGAUAAUCUCUUUUUGGAGAUUGUUUCGUACUUCUUAGAGGGACGAUGUGCGUUAGCACAAGGAAGUUGGAGGCAAUAACAGGUCUGUGAUGCCCUUAGAUGUCCUGGGCCGCACGCGUGCUACACUGACGGAUCCAACAAGUAUGCUUUUCUACCUGGACCGAAAGGUUUGGGAAAUCUAGCAAUGUCCGUCGUGAUGGGGAUCGACCCUUGUAACUUUGGUCGUGAACGAGGAAUUCCUUGUAAGCGCGAGUCAUCAUCUCGCGUUGAAUACGUCCCUGCCCUUUGUACACACCGCCCGUCGCUCCUACCGAUGGAUGGUCCGGUGAAAUCUUCGGAUGUUCUUUGUUUUUCCUUUUUUUCUUUUGAGAAAAAGGGCAGAGAACAGAAGUUGAUUAAACUUUAUCAUCUAGAGGAAGGAGAAGUCG
rnacentral:rRNA from 1 species